AGACAAACUAGAUAAGAUGCAGAUUCGAUCAGGCGAAGAUGUGAGUGACCUCAACUAUGAUUAUGACAAUAAACAGUGCAUAGCACGUGGUGAAAAUUGGUGUAUUGGAUGGUGGACAGCGGAUGGGAUAAUGAUGCAGCGGCUGCGUGACUAAUGUGAACAGAACUCGAAACUCUAAAGGAACUAGACACUAAGACCAGCAACUCGACACGACGAUGCAACCGAUAAUUCAACUAUGCAAGCAAUGAAAAGAAAAUUGCAAAGGCUCAGACUGGCUUGGACCAAGGAUGAAUAGAUCUAACUCUUUUUUGUGGCUUUUUCUUGGACAAUAGGUAAGAAAAUAAAUCUAAUCUAGGAAAACUGGAAAUUCUCACCGAGCAACCUGAAAACUGAUACCACUUGAUAGAGGCGGGGUGUCCCGAUCUUUCGAUGAGAUGAUAACUAUCGAUUUGGUGGAGACGACUUUGACGAUCCGACUACAAACGUGCACGACGUUGCGCCUUAGCAAUCGCUAAACCAACUCCGAGAGGUUAUUGAUCACGCCGGAGCACAAUCAACCUGACCACAAAGGUCUAUUCCUGCAAGCAAUCAAAGAACAAGCAAGAAUAUGAUAAAAGCAAUCUGAAUAUUGCGAGUAUAUAUGAAGUAUUGAUAAAGGUGGGGAUCCGUAAGCGGUCUUGGUCUGGUCGUUGGACACAAACGAAGUACACGAAGUUGCAAUGGCUAACUUUUAACUAAACAAAUCCCAAGGAAAAGCUACUAGAUGGAUCUACUUAUAUAGGAGCAAGGGGUGGAGGCCAAGGAGGUGGGAGGACGUCCCAAGGCAGCCUAAAACUAAAUCUAGGUUGUACAAGGCCAAUGGGCCCAAGUGGAGGUGAUGUAACACCUUUGGACUUGUAGUUUGACUCGGAUUCUGCUGCAGCAUCAGAUUGUUUCGUCCACAACUCAACGCUCCGGACGAAUUUGAAGGUGAUUCCAAUUGGGUUGGAAAGUGCACGAAAUCUAGUUUCCAACAAAAAAAGAAUCACCCAAUUCGGAGUCCGUAUGAAAAACUUGUGUGCGUUUUGAGUCAGGUGUGUCUGUGCAGUCCGAAUCUGAAUCCAGAACGUGAGAGACUUGGACUCUAUCUUCUCUUGGGCCAAAAGUGACGUGAGAGAACUUUUUGGACAGCAAAUAAACAUCUCUUUCUUCCUUAUCUUCAUAUGUGGAUUGUACAAAUGUCCCAUACACCUGCAAUUAGACAAAACACAAAAGUGUGUGAAGUAUUUUUGUUCUGGAUAACAUAAAUAGAUUAUUGAAUAGUUUGCACUAGAAAUCACCUGACAAAUAUGCAUAUAUGCAAUAUUUUUGGUCAUAUCCAAGGUAGUCAUGUCCUCAUCAUCCUCCCCUUCUUGAAAAUAAAGCCGUCCUCGGCGUUCCUUAAUCUGAAAUGUGGCUAACAAAAGAGACAAGGUGUACAUGUUGUAUAUGUAUAUUUCAUCCAUUUUUACUUCCCUUGAUUUUUGCAUAUAUGACACAUGAAUAGAUGAGUAACUUGCAUAGUUCAUAAAAUCUAAAGCCAAAAAAUUAGCACAAGAAGUAGAAGGCAUGAAAAUAUUGCAACUCAGUUUGCACAUAUAAGUGAAGCUCUUAUUCAUUUCAAAAGAUUGACAAUGUUCAUCAUUAAACCAUCCCAACAUUGGUGAAUAAACCUUACUUGCAUCAAAUUUACAUGCUAUAACAUGCUUAAAUAAGCAAACAUGCAAUAAGUCAUUCAACACAGAAUCAUCACCAAGAUUAGACGUCAUAUCAAAAUGAUUAAACAUUGGUUCUUUUGCAUCAAUAGUUAAUUCAAUGGGUGCACUCAAAAUUGUUGGUAUUUCAGUUGUUUGAUCACAUGGCAAAGUCAAAUUAUCAACGUAGUCCUCUAAAAUAGGUGGUGUGAUCAAAGUAGUGGGUAGCUCAUCAGAUGGUGCAUUCAAAUUGACAAGGCAUUCAUCAUUCUCAUGUAGAGAUGGAAGAUCAGUACCUUUGUCAUUACCUCUUAUGAUCAACUCAGAUGAUGUAGCCACUCUCGGGGGCGAUGUGUCACAUGGUGGAGGUGAUGUAGUCCUGACAACAACGGAUGUGGUUGUCAUAGUAUGCCUAGUAGUUGAAGGAACAAUCAUAUCAACUCUUGGAAUGUGCACCGUGCGCUUGUUCUCCUCGUGGCCAACACGUCGUUUUAUUUCCUGUUCAGCUUUGCAAGCAAGAUGAAACAAAUGGUCCAUAGGAUAACACUCUUCAUGAAUUAGUAUCUCUUGAAUAUCACGGUUUAAUCCUCCCCAAAAUCUAUCCAUAAAAUCAUCUUCACUUUCUUCCAAAGAGGAAUGCAACAAGGUAGUUUGGAAAUCAUCAUAAUAUUUUGUUACAGUUUCACUACCUUGUUUUAAGUGUUGCAACUUCUUAAUCAUGUCACGAGUAUAAUAAGCAGGGACGAAAGUAUGUCGCAUGGCAAGUUUCAAAUCAUCCCAAGUAGUAGGUAUAUAAUCAGGGUGUAACCGACAAUAUUCACUCCACCAAACCAAAGCAUAACCAGUGAAAGAACCAACCGCAACCUUAACCUUUUUAUGUUCAUUGAAAUUAUGGGAAGCAAAUAUAUUUUUUAUGUCGAACUCCCAUUCAAUAUAUAAAGCAGGUUUAAAACGGCCAUUAAAUGGUGGUAUAGAUACAUUAACCUGAUCAUGUGCAUUUGGAUGUUUGUGCACCUCUCGUGACGGUUGUGGUAUUUGCAAAGGUGGUGGCACGUCUCCCGCGAUCGAAAAAGCCCAUGAAUUGACUCUGGAUCCUGUCAUGAUUAGUAGAACAAGAAAUAAAACCCAAAAAUAAUGUUCCUAUAACUACUAGGAUGUGGUGGUAAAACGCUCACAGUAAAGCAAAUAUCAAUGCCUUACAAGUUCUUACCAUGCAGCAGGCGGUGAUCGGCAACCAGCGGUGUCAAGUAACUCCGAAUAUUGAGUAAAGCGAUUGCCAGGGGAGCGUACGUAUACAUGGUGUAGAAAUAUGUGGAGCUGGGUUGGCUAUAUAUGGUAGCAAAAGAUUAGCAAUAAUCAAUUCAAAGAUGCAAUGUUGAAUAAACGCUCAACGACGGUACUGUGCUGGUCCUAGGCUAGACCGGACUAGAGACGCAAGCCUAGAACACUAAUAAGGUCACGGCGUAGCACAACUAGCAUCAAUGAAGGAUACUAAGUAGCUCUUGACAGCAAGAUAUAAGUGAAGAUCACAACGGCAGUGAAGAUAAUGAUGAAAAACAACUGCCAAGCAGGAUAUACAACAACUCUCUCUCCAACUUUCCUCUUGAAAAGUUUGAGACAAUUUUAUGAUAAAUUCUUUCAAAGAAUGCUACUAACUCAAGCUUUCCAAUGCAAAAAGAAUCACUUAAUUCCGAGUUGAUAUGAGGAGUCAAAGAAUUCUAAAACUGGCCUGAAAAAUUGGAACAAGUUGUGUUCACGAACUUCGGAGGGCAAAAAGACCUAUUUAGAAGCCGAUUUUGAGGUGUCAAAUAUUGAACAAUCUUCUGCAACUAUUUAGAUGUGGCUUGUCGCUAUCUUCAAUUUGAGUACUCACGGAGCCAAAACUGACUUCGUAUGAGGAAGAUACACCUGUUUUACUGAACAGUGCGCAAAACAGAUUCCAAUCCGAAUUCAGGUACGAGAUUGAUUCUAGAUAGAUCCAAUUUUUUUUUCUUCUCUCUUUUUUUUCUCACGCCUUUUUUUUCUUUUUCUUCUCCCUCUUUUUCUUUUUUUUCUUUCCUUUUUUCUCUUUUUUUUCUUUAUCUUCUUUUUCUCCCUCUUUCCAAGACAAACUAGAUAAGAUGCAGAUUCGAUCGGGCGAAAAUGUGAGUGACCUCAACUAUGAUUAUGACAAUAAACAGUGCGUAGCACAUGGUAGAAAUUGGUGGAUGGGAUGGUGGACAGCGGAUGGGAUAAUGAUGCAGCGGCUGCGUGACUAAUGUGAACAGAACUCGAAACUCUAAAGGAACUAGACACUAAGACCAGCAACUCGACACGGCGAUGCAAC
rnacentral:lncRNA from 1 species